AAAUAAUUUUUUCGUUCCAUAAUAUAAAAUGUUUUAAAGAAGUUUUGAUGUUUCAAAAUAUAAGAUGUUUUGAUAUUUUUAAGGUAUUUUGAUUUUACUGAAAGUUGGUUAACCAAUAAUAUUUUACUGCAUUAUUUAUGGCUGGUUAACUUAUUUUCAAUUUAUAUUAUUAAUAAUAUUAUAUUUUUAAAAGUAAAUUUCUUAAUUUGUGUGCAUUUAUGUAAAAUAUUUUAUAUUACUAAUUGAUUUUUCUGCUUCGCAUCUCUCUCUCUCCCCGCCGUCAAACCCUAGAAAAGAGGAAGCUUGGGCUUGCUUAGCUGCUGCUCCGGCGGUCGGUGCUUCUCACCGUCGCCGGGAGCGGUCCCGUGUCGUCUCUCUCUUUGUAGUUGCGUUUUUUUUUCCGGCUUCUCGACAUUAUUUUGGUUGUGGUGUCAGAUCUGAGCCAAUGGAAGGACCAAGGGUACUCUGGUCUCGGCUCUUGGUCACCUAAGUUCGGUUGGAGAGUCGAUGGUGUGGGGUUUGUCCACUUCUGUGCGAUGGUCUUCUUUCAGUCAAACCGGUGCCGGAGCCGGUUAAGAUUAGUGGUCAAGCUCGGGAUCGGGCUUCUCCUAUUUUUGUCACUUCCUUUGAUGUCGAGUUUAUGUUUGGAAUGCUUGGAGAGGUUGGGCUUGGUGUACUGUCUCUGUUCUUGGAAAUCAAUUCUUGUGGUUGUUGAUCCUUUAAGGUCAGAGGCCUUUUCGAGCUCUAUUGUAGUUUUGAGAAGAUUCGGAGGGAGAUAGAAGUUUAUAGGAGCGAUUGCUCCUUUGUUGGUCGAUUGCCACCGAGAUUUGUUCGUGAUUGUUCUGGAUUUGGAGUGGUUUUUAUCCAGCUACCGGCUGUGUGAAUAAGACAUGUUCAGGAAGCUUUUAUAGGCUUCGCUGUGGGGGUGUUGGGCGUAUGAGGCGCAUGGAGAGCACAAUCAAAGUCCAAUGGCGAGUCUUAGUUGGGAUUGAAGGGUGUGUGCAGCGACGGUUAAGGAUUUUAACCUCUCUCGAUUCGGUUUAUGUGUUGGUGAUGUUCGUGUGCGUCAGGUCUAUCUCGAUGAUCUUCUCUCCUAGUGUUAUUUAUGAAUGUAUGCUCAUUAGGUAUGCCCGUCCUUGAGUGCAGGGUGAUGCUCUCUUCUCUGGUAGUGAUCUGUUUCUUCUUUGUUGUUGCUUAAGUUAUGUUCUUCGUUGUUGUUUUUAUCUUUGGUUCCGAGGGGUGUUGUUUUACCUCGUCGGCUGAUGACUCCGGAAAAGUUUUGAUCCUUUGCUGGCUUUGUUUAAGGCACAGUUAUUUCAAUAUUAA